CUGUUCUUUAAUUUUUUAAUAUACAGAAUUUUAAUAAUUGUACUUCGGUAAUAGAUCUUCAGCUGGCAAAGGAAAGGGAAGAUUUGCUGUACCUUUUUCACAACAACCCAAAGAAGUGUCUCAAUAAAACAACGGUUUUAACUUAGGAAACUGAAUUUUUAAAAAAUUAAAAGGUAACCCAAAAGUCAUGUGUCCACCCAGGGCAGGAUUUUUGAACUGGGGGAAAGAUCAGAAGAUAGGUGUGUGGACUGAGGAGAGGAGGGUGGAGGGACAAAAACUCCUAAAAACCUGGGAAGCACAAAUAUAUUG
rnacentral:lncRNA from 1 species